CUUAACUCUGGGAUACAGCUCAAGACCAAAGCUGCUAGGAUUUUUAACCACGGCACAACUAGUCUACAUGGAAGAUGGAGCCCUGAGUGAGAUCGGAUCCUGACUGGCCAUUGGGAGACAUCCAUCUGCUUUAUUGGGAGUGUUAGAAGCCAAUUAAAGUUAAAAAAGAAUCUACAAAGACAGAUGUGAGUCUUGGACUUCAACCAGCCAAGAUACUACAUAAUUGGGACAGAUCCAGCUUUACACUAACCUCCAGGAUCCAUGACAGACUUGUUGGAUAUUCUCUGGCUAAUGAAAAGUUCAGCAACAAACUUCUGGGGGUAAUAAGCUGUGGCUGAUGAGAUGGGAGAAAACCCAGAGAAGCAGGUUUCCCUAUAGGAGAUUAUAACCAUAAUCAGCAACCUGCAGAAAAAUCACCCACAGAGAGCUUCUAAUGAGAAGCAUUAAAGACAGAAAACAUGCAGCAACCAAAACCUUUUCAAAUGCAAAUAUGAAAGCACAUGGAUGAGCUGAAAACCACAAACAGAAACACUACAGAGCAAGCACUGCUGAAGCUGGCAUUGCAUGUCAACCUUUUGAAGUGACCAAGGGUUUUUGUUUGCUUGCUUAAAAAAAAAAAAAAAAGACAGACAGACCUAAAAGCUCUAAUUGACUAACUCCUUGGAGACUUAACAUGAUGCAAAAACAGACAUCACAGGAAAUUAGGGUGACCAAACAGCAAGUGUGAAAAAUCGGGAUGGGGUGGGGGGUAAUAGGAACUUAUAUAAGAAAAAAGACCCCAAAAUCAGGACUAUCCCUAUAAAAUUGGGACAUCUGGUCACCCUACAGGAAAUAAAAUAGACAUAUGGCUAAGACAUCUAGACAGACCACCUCUGAACAGCUCACACUAAGGCCAUCUCCUCCUCAGCUUCAUGUAGAGAACUACCCUGGAAAAGUACUGUGAUAAGAUACUUCUUCUACACAGCAGUUACCAUUACCAAAGUGACCUUCUGUGUCCUUUGCUGGAGAAGCUGGGGGAAUAGAGGUCGCCACAUACACAUUUUCUGAGACUUCCCUCAGAUUCAAACAUUCUGGACACACAUGACCAAUAGCCUGCACAUAACCCUAUCCAUAUAGUUAACUGAAACAAAUUUAGUAAAUGCGGGGAAAUACCCUGCUAUCUGGGUACUUGUCUGGUUCCCAUGGUCAUAAUAUCUGAUCAUCUCAUAGAUAUUAAUAAUUAAACCUUACAAAAACUGUUAUCUGAUUACCGUCCUUUUACAGUUAAGUGAAGGAAGUUAAGCGCUUAAGUGACUAGCCCAAUGUC